GGCUCGAGCAAUCGUUCUGCCUCAGCCUCCCAAAGUGCUGGGAUUACAGGUGUGAGCUACCACACCUGGUCCCACCCCCAUUUUAGAGAGGAGAAAGCUGAGAUUUCCAGAGAUUGGCUGAUUUGCCCAAGACCCAAGGCUAGUAAGCAGCAGAACCAAGAUAUCUGUGUGGAGCCAAAUCAGCUUCCUACCAUGCCUCACCACUGGCUAAACCCCUUAUUCCCAUCUCCUGGCCCUUGCCCUAGGAGCAUUUCAUAGCAACUUCUCCUCUAAUGUUUUUCAUCCAGCAGGAUUUUUCAUUCCAAGUGGCCAGUCUCAAAGGGGAGGCUGACCUUAUUCUCUUGUAAAUGUAGCUCUUUUUGAUCACUCGCUCCUCCUUCCCUGGGAAAUAGGAAAUGCUGAAAAGAUCUCUUUCUCCACAAGACAUCCCUCCACCAAAUCCCCUCUCCUUUGCUUACCCAGACAGUUGUGUCCAUCAUGUGCCAGGUGGAAUCCAUCAUAGCAGGUACACCGGUAAUUGCCAGGGAUGUUGACACAGUCAUGCACACAACCUGCAUUAUCCUCUCGCUCGCACUCAUCCACGUCUGUAGGCAAAGAGAAGCUGAGACAGAUGAACCCACCUGUGAACCCACUGUCCACCCCCCAGACUCAGCCUUAUUGUUGUGUUUACAUAGUAAUGUUCAUAGCCUAUAAGCCAUUUAGCAUUUUUCUGUUUUCAUUUAAACCUAAGUCAUAAACAUUUUCAGGUCUCCAGUCAUUCUAAUUACCACUGUAUGUGGUUGCAGAAUAUUAUUUUUCUAUUCUUAUAACUCUUUUCUCUAUUGUUACAGAUUUAGACUUAUUUCAUUUAUUUUACAAUCAUAGAUAAUGCAUCAAAGAACACCUUCUCCCAUUUAUCAUUUUGUUUCUUUGAAUAAGUUCUCAAGAGUAAAAUUUCUGGAUCAAAGGAAAUACCUUUUAAGAUUCCUGCCAACCAUCAUACCAGUUGAUUCUAAGUGCUGGGAGCUUCUGUCUACACUUACUCUCCACCUCGCUCGGGCUCCGUAGUCAUGGUGUCUACCUGCUGGCCCAUCCUGGGAAGUCAUCUCAAAGUGAAAGAAUGGAGAAGAGAGGGCAUGGAAGACUAGUUCAUAGGUAAGGGCAAGAGGGUCCUCAUAGAUGCUAAGGUGCUCUGUGGAGAAUCCGUUUGUGCAACUGAUGAACAGAAAACAAUACAAAGAAGUAUGCUAUCACAGAA